UAGAAUUGAAAAUAAAAUAAACCACGAAUUACUUCAUCGAAAUUUAUUCCCUACAGAACUGUUUCGUAUGGCAGUUGUUUAACCCACACUCUGGGUUGAUUCCACUGGAAAUCGUACUUGCCAGUCUUGCUUACGAAUUACAAA